CCUACGGGUGGCAGCAGUGAGGAAUAUUGGUCAAUGGACGAGAGUCUGAACCAGCCAAGUAGCGUGAAGGAUGACUGCCCUAUGGGUUGUAAACUUCUUUUAUAUGGGAAUAAAAUGUUCCACGUGUGGGAUUUUGUAUGUACCAUAUGAAUAAGGAUCGGCUAACUCCGUGCCAGCAGCCGCGGUAAUACGGAGGAUCCGAGCGUUAUCCGGAUUUAUUGGGUUUAAAGGGAGCGUAGGUGGAUUGUUAAGUCAGUUGUGAAAGUUUGCGGCUCAACCGUAGAAUUGCAGUUGAAACUGGCAGUCUUGAGUACAGUAGAGGUGGGCGGAAUUCGUGGUGUAGCGGUGAAAUGCUUAGAUAUCACGAAGAACUCCGAUUGCGAAGGCAGUUCACUGGACUGCAACUGACACUGAGGCUCGAAAGUGUGGGUAUCAAACAGGAUUAGAUACCCUUGUAGUC
rnacentral:rRNA from 1 species